CAGCCGCCGCGGGAAUACGUAGGUGGCAAGCGUUGUCCGGAAUUAUUGGGCGUAAAGGGUCCGCAGGCGGUUUCUUAAGUCUGAUGUGAAAGCCCCCGGCUCAACCGGGGAGGGUCAUUGGAAACUGGGAAACUUGAGUGCAGAAGAGGAGAGUGGAAUUCCACGUGUAGCGGUGAAAUGCGUAGAGAUGUGGAGGAACACCAGUGGCGAAGGCGACUUUCUGGUCUGUAACUGACGCUGAGGAGCGAAAGCGUGAGGAGCGAACAGGAUUAGAUACCCGCGUAGUCCCUGUCUCUUAUCC
rnacentral:rRNA from 1 species